AUUUAUGCAGAUACAUUUGUAUGCUGUAUACUCGUGUAACCGAAUUAACGUUUAAGCGAUAUGUAAUAUCGCCGGCCACGAGGGCCACAUAGGUGGCUUUUUUU
rnacentral:sRNA from 1 species